AUGAUAAACACAAGGUCGCGAAGGUGGAUUCCCCCUACAGGUGAUGCAUCCAAACUCAAUGUAGAUGGGGGGCUGUCAACCUUGGGCGACAAAGGAGUAGCAGCAGCAAUAUGCAGAGACGCCACAGGGAAUUUUUUGGGAGCCUCCGCAGUUGUUUUUGCAGGGCUGGUUGAUCCUGUAUCUUUGGAGGCGCAUGCAUGCCGUGAAGCACUUUCAUUGGCUCAAGAUCUUAAUCUGCGUAGGCUGAUCAUUGCAUCGGACAGCCUUGAAGUGAUCAAUAACAUAAAGAAGGGAGCAGCAUCAUCUUACGCUUCAAUCUUAAAAGAUAUAGAACUUACUACUACAAACUUUGAUAGUGUUAGUUUUUGCUUUGAGCAUAGGGAGUCCAAUUUUGAGGCUCGUUCUGUUGCUAAAGGAGCUUCUUCUCUCUCUGUUGAACGCCAUGUGUGGCUAGGGAUUGUUCCUGACAUUGCCUGUAUCCCAGACGUUUUGAAUGUUUGA
rnacentral:rRNA from 1 species